AAGGAUCAUUAUAGUAUUCUAUUGCCAGCGCUUAAUUGCGCGGCGAUAAACCUUACACACAUUGUCUAGUUUUUUUGAACUUUGCUUUGGGUGCAUCAGCCUAGCUGCGUGCCCAAAGGUCUAAACACAUUUUUUUAAUGUUAAAACCUUUAACCAAUAGUCAUGAAAAUUUUUAACCAAAAUUAAAAUCUUCAAAACUUUCAACAACGGAUCUCUUGGUUCUCGCAACGAUGAAGAACGCAGCGAAAUGCGAUACGUAUUGUGAAUUGCAGAUUUUCGUGAAUCAUCGAAUCUUUGAACGCACAUUGCACCCUCUGGUAUUCCAGAGGGUAUGCCUGUUUGAGCGUCAUUUCUCUCUCAAACCUUCGGGUUUGGUAUUGAGUGAUACUCUGUCAAGGGUUAACUUGAAAUAUUGACUUAGCAAGAGUGUACUAAUAAGCAGUCUUUCUGGAAUAAUGUAUUAGGUUCUUCCAACUCGUUAUAUCAGCUAGGCAGGUUUAGAAGUAUUUUAGGCUCGGCUUAACAACAAUAAACUAAAAGUUUGACCUCAAAUCAGGUAGGACUACCCGCUGAACUUAAGCAUAUCAA
rnacentral:rRNA from 1 species